rnacentral:rRNA from 1 species
UACGGAGGGGGCUAGCGUUGUUCGGAAUUACUGGGCGUAAAGCGCGCGUAGGCGGCUUUGUAAGUUAGAGGUGAAAGCCCGGAGCUUAACUCCGGAACUGCCUUUAAGACUGCAUCGCUAGAAUUGUGGAGAGGUGAGUAGAAUUCCGAGUGUAGAGGUGAAAUUCGUAGAUAUUCGGAAGAACACCAGUGGCGAAGGCGACUCACUGGACACAUAUUGACGCUGAGGUGCGAAAGCGUGGGGAGCAAACAGG